UACAGAGGUGUCAAACGUUGUCCGGAAUUACUGGGCGUAAAGGGCGCGUAGGCGGCCAUAUAAGCCAUGUGUGAAAGCUCUGGGCUCAACCCAGGAAUUGCAUGUGAUACUGUAAGGCUUGAGUUCGGUAGAGGAGGGCGGAAUUCCAGGUGUAGCGGUGAAAUGCGUAGAUAUCUGGAGGAACACCCGUGGCGAAGGCGGCUCUCUGGUCCGAAACUGACGCUGAGGUGCGAAAGCUAGGGUAGCAAACAGG
rnacentral:rRNA from 1 species